rnacentral:rRNA from 1 species
UACGUAGGGACCAAGCGUUGUUCGGAUUUACUGGGCGUAAAGAGCGUGUAGGCGGUCCGGUAAGUCCGCUGUGAAAGUCGGGGGCUCAACCCUCGAAUGCCGGUGGAUACUGUCGGGCUAGAGUGCGGAAGAGGCGAGUGGAAUUCCUGGUGUAGCGGUGAAAUGCGCAGAUAUCAGGAGGAACACCUAUUGCGAAGGCAGCUCGCUGGGACGUAACUGACGCUGAGACGCGAAAGCGUGGGGAGCAAACAGG